UCUUAGCCCUGAUAGUAGCGAUAUCCUUUUGUGCCGGUGUUCGGCACAAAAGAUAUAGCGGAUAGCAGGAUUAGCU
rfam:Flavobacterium hibernum strain DSM 12611 Contig10, whole genome shotgun sequence.